rnacentral:rRNA from 1 species
GGACGAACGCUGGCGGCGUGCCUAACACAUGCAAGCGAGCGGGGACACACGACGGACAGGAAGUUUCGGACAGACUGGAAGAUGUAUGUUCUAGCGGCGGACGGGUGAGUAACGCGUGAGCAACCUGUCCUUCACAGGGGGGAUAACACAGCGAAAGUUGUGCUAAUACCGCAUAAGACCACGGCGAGACAUCUCGCAGGGGGUCAAAAGGAGCAAUCCGGGUGAAGGGUGGGCUCGCGUCCGAUUAGAUAGUUGGUGAGGUAACGGCCCACCAAGUCGACGAUCGGUAGCCGACCUGAGAGGGUGAUCGGCCACAUUGGGACUGAGACACGGCCCAAACUCCUACGGGAGGCAGCAGUGGGGAAUAUUGGGCAAUGGGGGGAAACCCUGACCCAGCAACGCCGCGUGAGGGAAGAAGGUUUUCGGAUCGUAAACCUCUGUCCUACGUGAAGAGUAAGAGACGGUAGCAUAGGAGGAAGCCCCGGCUAACUACGUGCCAGCCGCGGC